AGCAGCCGCGGUAAUUCCAGCUCCAAUAGCGUAUAUUAAAGUUGUUGCAGUUAAAAAGCUCGUAGUUGAAUUUCGGGAUCAAUUAAUUGGUCGUGCCUAUGGUAUGUACUGAUUUUAUUGGUUUCUCCCUUCUGACGAACCAUGAUGUCAUUAAUUUGGUGUCGUGAAGAAUCAGGACUGUUACUUUGAAAAAUUAGAGUGUUUAAAGCAAGCUAACGCUUGAAUACAUUAGCAUGGAAUAAUGAAAUAGGACGUUUGAUCCUAUUUUGUUGGUUUCUAGGAUCGACGUAAUGAUUAAUAGGGAUAGUUGGGGGCAUUAGUAUUCAAUUGUCAGAGGUGAAAUUCUUGGAUUUAUUGAAGACUAACUACUGCGAAAGCAUUUGCCAAGGAUGUUUUCAUUAAUCAAGAACGAAAGUUAGGGGAUCGAAGACGAUCAGAUACCGUCGUAGUCUUAACCAUAAACUAUGCCGACUAGGGAUCGGAUGAUGUUAAUUUUUUAAUGUACUCAUUCGUACG
rnacentral:misc_RNA from 1 species